CCCGCAACGAGCGCAACCCCUAUUGUUAGUUGCCAUCAUUAAGUUGGGCACUCUAGCGAGACUGCCGGUAAUAAACCGGAGGAAGGUGGGGAUGACGUCAAAUCAUCAUGCCCCUUAUGACCUGGG
rnacentral:rRNA from 1 species